ensembl:lncRNA
CGCGCGGGCGGAGACGGCUGCGGUGUCGGGAACGGCCUCCUGCGCCCUGACACGAGCGCUGCGGCCCUCCCCGGUUAACGGGAGUUGGUUACGAAGAUGUCCGACGGGGGAGCCGGGGGGCGCUCGCUACGAGCAUUCCGGGCACAAGGACACAUGCUGCCUGUUAUACCACCACGGGAGAUGCAGAUAACAUCUUUUUGUGUAAAAAUCUAUCUUGGGAGCAAUGAGACAGCACCAUCUCCACAUCACACUGCUCUCCAUCCCAUGAUCGUUAAUUCAGAUUUCCAGGAACUUUAAGACAAGCCAAUUGGGCUCAAAUGACACUGAGAAACUACAGUGCACCAAUGGCAACAGGAUGCACCCUUUUGUACAAUAAACAGCCAUGAGGAUCACUUGCACUUUUUGCUCUAUAACCCCAGGCCAUGAGUCUGUUAUUAAAACCUAUUAAGAGCAUGCUUGUCAAUAAAAGCCCAUGAAAGAAUGCCUGUGUUCUAUGCUAGAAUAAUAAUAAAAAAAAAAAGCAGAAUUUUGUAAAGUGUUUUCUGUCCAUCAGCACAUUUUCAUCUGCUCUGACACUCAAGGUUCCUUCAUCUUCCCC